rnacentral:misc_RNA from 1 species
GUGAAUUUGUCGCCUCCAAGGCUCACAUUCUCUAUCCUUUACACACCUGUGCACCCUUCUGAAGCGGAGAGUUAUUAGGCAUUAGCCGAGCGCCUCCCUUCGGUUAUUAUAUAUCAACCUCAAACUACGUUUACUAGAAUGUAUACCGUCUUGUUGUAACGACAAGUACAAUCCAAUA